rnacentral:rRNA from 1 species
CAAGUCGAACGAGAAGUGGAGCAAUCCAUGAGUAAAGUGGCGACCGGGUGAGUAACACGUGACUAACCUACCUUCGAGUGGGGAAUAACCUCGGGAAACCGGGGCUAAUACCGCAUAAUGUCUUCGGACCAAAGGAGCAAUUCGCUUGAAGAGGGGGUCGCGGCCGAUUAGCUAGUUGGCGGGGUAACGGCCCACCAAGGCGAUGAUCGGUAGCCGGCCUGAGAGGGCGCACGGCCACACUGGAACUGAAACACGGUCCAGACUCCUACGGGAGGCAGCAGUGGGGAAUUUUGCGCAAUGGGGGAAACCCUGACGCAGCAACGCCGCGUGGAGGAUGAAGCCCCUUGGGGUGUAAACUCCUUUCGAUCGGGACGAUUAUGACGGUACCGGAUGAAGAAGCACCGGCUAACUCUGUGCCAGCAGCCGCGGU